rnacentral:rRNA from 1 species
GAUGAACGCUGGCGGCGUGCCUAAUACAUGCAAGUCGAGCGAACGGACGAGAAGCUUGCGGCUCUGAUGUUAGCGGCGGACGGGUGAGUAACACGUGGAUAACCUACCUAUAAGACUGGUAUAUCUUCGGGAAACCGGAGCUAAUACCGGAUGAUAUUUUGAACCGCAGUGUUCAAAAGUGAGAGACGGUCUUGCGGUCACUUAUAGAGGGAUCCGCGCUGCAUUAGAUAGUUGUUAAGUUAACGGCUUACCAAGGCAAGGAUGCAUGGGCGAACUGAGGGGCUGAUAGGCCACACUGGAACUGAGCCACGGUCAAGACUCCUAAGGGAGGCAGCAGUAGGGAAUGUUACGCAAUGGGCGAAAGCCUGACGGAGCAACGCCGAGCGAGUGAUGACGGUCUUCGGAUCGUAAAACUCUGUUACUAGGGAAGAACAUAUGUGUAAGUAACCGUGCACAUCUUGACGGUACCUAAUAAGAAAGCCCCGGCUAACUACGUG